rnacentral:rRNA from 1 species
UACGAAUGGGGCAAGCGUUGUUCGGAAUCACUGGGCUUAAAGCGUGCGUAGGCGGUUUUGCAAGUCAGAAGUGAAAGCCUGGGGCUCAACCCCAGAAUUGCUUUUGAAACUGCAAGACUAGAAUACCGGAGAGGUUGGGAGAAUUCCUAGUGUAGAGGUGAAAUUCGCAGAUAUUAGGAGGAAUACCAGUGGCGUAGGCGCCCAACUGGACGGUUAUUGACGCUCAGGCACGAAAGCGUGGGGAGCAAACAGG